AUUGAACGCUGGCAGCAUGCUUUACACAUGCAAGUCGGACGGCAGCACAGAGAAGCUUGCUUCUUGGGUGGCGAGUGGCGAACGGGUGAGUAACAUAUCGGAACGUACCGAGUAGUGGGGGAUAACUGAUCGAAAGAUCAGCUAAUACCGCAUACGUCUUGAGAGGGAAAGCAGGGGACCUUCGGGCCUUGCGCUAUUCGAGCGGCCGAUAUCUGAUUAGCUAGUUGGUGGGGUAAAGGCCUACCAAGGCGACGAUCAGUAGCGGGUCUGAGAGGAUGAUCCGCCACACUGGGACUGAGACACGGCCCAGACUCCUACGGGAGGCAGCAGUGGGGAAUUUUGGACAAUGGGCGCAAGCCUGAUCCAGCCAUGCCGCGUGUCUGAAGAAGGCCUUCGGGUUGUAAAGGACUUUUGUCAGGGAAGAAAAGGCUGUUGCUAAUAUCAGCGGCUGAUGACGUACCUGAAGAAUAAGCCCCGCA
rnacentral:rRNA from 1 species